rnacentral:lncRNA from 1 species
AUGAGAAGGAGCGAGCGGAUCAGGAUUGAAUUAGAAGGUGCUGAGGAAGAUACAAAGCUCCAAAUUUGGAAAACAACAGUGAAACUCCACAGAUUUCCAGGCUCUGUUCUAGGUGUUAAGGAUUCAAAGAAGAAGGGAGAAGAGGCUCCUUAUCAGACCCAACUGUGCAACCUGUAUGCCAGUACAGUAUGGAGACCGCCACUACCAGGACUGAAAACACCAAGCCAGGGCAUCCCCUCGGAUGCUUACUCCUACUUAGAGCUUGUGAAUGUACUAUCCAACAUCUGGCCCCAGCAAAUUUUGCAUCUCAGAAUUUCUCCACAGCUCACAUCAUGAUUUUGUAUUCUCUUUGCAUACCUUUCACUUAUUUUCGGGGUGUGGAAGUAAUAUUUCAUUACAGUAUCUGUGAUCCACACAAUGUGAGGAAUAAGGAAAAUUAUUGUCUCCAACUAGAAAAUUAGAUAAUGUAACUAGAUUUCUUUGUAUUUUUCAUUAGCAAUUGCUACUCGUGUGUCAUUCUGAGGGAAAUCAACAAAUUUAAUUUCGUUGCUUUUGGUUUCCUUUGCACUUGUUAAAGAAGAAAGAGGCUAGUGAGAUUUCCAUCCUGGGCCUCUCUGCCCUUGGACAGCAUGGGAGACAGAGGCCAUGCCCUAAGUUUUCCCUAACACAGGAGCUCAGAAGUUGCUCCUGGCUGCUCAGGCAGGUCUUAAGGACAGCUGUCAUCUGUGCCACAACACCAGGCAGGCAAUGAGGACACAGCGUUCACCUCAAGGCAGCUGAGGAAGACUCUGUGACACUGACGUGGUUGCUGGCUCCACAUCCCACACCUGGAAUGUAAACAUGCAGACCAACACCUGUGCGUUGCUGUAAACUGGGCCCUGUGUUGAGGAACAGCGUAGACCCAGGCUCAGUUCCUUGGAGAUAAGCUUGGUUAGCUUCUCUGCAUUUUUCUUGGCCAAGCCUAGCCGUGAUGAAGAACCUGAGCCACAACAAGCAGACAUUCUCUCUCUUUUUUUUCUUUUGAGGAAGAUUAGUCCUGAGCUAACAUCCACAGCCAAUCCUCCUCUUUUUUUGCUGAGGAAGACUGGCCCUGAGCUAACAUCCAUGCCCAUCUUUCUCUAUUUUAUAUGUGGGACGCCUGCCACAGCAUGGCUUGAUAAGCGGUGUGUAGGUCUGCACCUGGGAUCUGAACCAGCGCACCCCCGGCCACCGAAGCAGAGCAUGCAAACUUAACUGCUGCACCAUGGGCUGGCCCCAGACAUUCUCAUUUUUAUUUUAACCCUUGUGCUUGUUACAUGGCCCUAGCUGUCCCAGCCCUGCCUCCCUCCACACUCCCUGCCUCAGAAACAACAUUUCUGCAUGGAACUGCAUCCCUUUGUUUUGCUUUCCCCAACUGUGCUGGAAUUGUUUAACCCUUCGUGACAGUCUUAGAGGAAAAUGGCUAUAUGAUGCAUCUUUUAUUUCCUAAGUUAUAACUAUAGAUAAAAAUCUAAUAGAUAACUUUAUUUAUAUAAUUAUAGAUAAUUAUAACCAAAAAAAGAGAGAAAAUGAAACUGAUUUUAUUUUUCAAUUUUAUUUUCUACUUAAAUAACUUUUGUGACUGUAUACUGUGGCAUUUAAAAACAAACCAAAGGGGUUUGCCUGGUGGCACAGUGGUUAAGUUCCCACACUCUGCUUUGGCAGCCUAGGGUUCACAGGUUUGUAUCCCAGGAAUGGACCAAGCACAACUCAUCAAGCCAUGCUGUGGCAGGAUCCCACAUAAAAGAGAGUAAGAUUGGCACAGAAGUUUGCUCAGUGACAAUCUUCCUCAAGCCAAAAGAGGAAGAUUGGCAACAGACGGUAGCUCAGGGCCAAUCUUCCUCACCAAGAAAAACCCAAAAUAUUUAUUUGUUAACCUACUAUAUAUAGAAGUGUGUAUGUAUGUAUCUAUGUACAUAUAUAUAUACACACACACACAUAUAAACACACGUGUACAUAUAUAUGUGAUAUAUAGUACACACUUAAAUAUAUACAUUCAUGCACACAUAUGUGUCUGUGUGUAUAUCUAUUUGUUAAAUAUGUAGGUUAUAUAUCUAUAUACAUAGCUAUCUGUUUGUUAAAUGGACCAAUUAUCUCUUGGCAGAAAACAUUGCAGGGUCAUGGAAAGAUGAGAAAAAUUAUUAUUGCCACGUAGUAUAUGUAAUGUAGGAAAUAGUUGGAAAUGUUCUAACUUGGAAGUAUUAAGAUAAUUCCAAUAAAGCUAUGUUUUGAAGUCA